UACGUAGGGGGCAAGCGUUGUCCGGAAUCAUUGGGCGUAAAGAGCGUGUAGGCGGUCCGAUAAGUCCGCUCUGAAAGCCCGGGGCUCAACCCCGGGAGGCGGGCGGAUACUGUCGGGCUAGAGUCCGGAAGAGGCAAGUGGAAUUCCUGGUGUAGCGGUGAAAUGCGCAGAUAUCAGGAGGAACACCAAUAGCGAAGGCAGCUCGCUGGGACGUUACUGACACUGAGGCGCGAAAGCGUGGGGAGCGAACAGG
rnacentral:rRNA from 1 species